AAUAUUUGACGCCCUUAACUUUUUAGCACAUGUUUAACCGUUCGUCUUAUUCAAAAAAUUUAAGUAAUUAUUAAUUCUUUUUCUAUCAUUUGAUUCAUUGUUAAAUAUAUUUUUAUGUAGGCAUAUAAUUUUACAUAUUUCACAAAAGUUUUUUAAUAAGACGAACGGUCAAACAUGUGCUAAAAAGUCAACGGUGUCAAACAUU
rnacentral:pre_miRNA from 1 species